rnacentral:rRNA from 1 species
AUUGAACGCUGGCGGCAUGCCUUACACAUGCAAGUCGAACGGCAGCACGGGGGCAACCCUGGUGGCGAGUGGCGAACGGGUGAGUGAUACAUCGGAAUGUACCCAGUAGUGGGGGAUAACUAGUCGAAAGAUUAGCUAAUACCGCAUACGCACUAUGGUGGAAAGCGGGGGAUCGCAAGACCUCGCGCUAUUGGAGCAGCCGAUGUCCGAUUAGGUAGUUGGUGGGGUAAAAGCCUACCAAGCCUGCGAUCGGUAACUGGUCUGAGAGGACGACCAGUCACACUGGGACUGAGACACGGCCCAGACUCCUACGGGAGGCAGCAGUGGGGAAUUUUGGACAAUGGGGGAAACCCUGAUCCAGCAAUGCCGCGUGUGUGAAGAAGGCCUUCGGUUGUAACUAGCUUUUGUUACGGAACGAAAAAGACUACUCUCUAAUACAGGGGUGAAUGACGGUACCGUAAGAAUAAGACACCGGCUAACUACGUAGCCAGCAGCCGCGGU